UUCAACCUUCUUCUCCUGCUCUUCCUCUUUGCCCUUUUCUCACUUUCUUCCCUUUUCUCCCAAUGUUACGUGUUCUCUGUUUUCACGUAAAACCCUUUUUACCAAAUGGGACCUUAUAUAUAUAUUCCAACUUUAUUAUUCCAAUAAUAAUAAUAAUUCCAAAUAAUAUUCCAAUAAUAAUCUAAUUAUUUAAUUAAAUUAAUAAAUAUACUAUUAACUUAAUUUAAAUAAUUAUCAUAUUUUAUCGGGGUGUUACAACUCUCCCC
rnacentral:lncRNA from 1 species